rnacentral:ncRNA from 2 species
ACGAUGUGCUAGGGGUGCUCUAAUUGAGCUGAGAAAGAUGUCAUCUUAACUCUUUGAACCUGAAGUGGUUAGUACCAACGAAGGGAAGCUAUUUUAACUUAUG